rnacentral:rRNA from 1 species
AUGAGCAAGGUGGAGAUGGGUGAGGAGGAACAAGAACAAGAAGGUACAGCAGUAGAUGAUCCAGAGAAGAAGACGAACAAGGCGUCAGCUGCGGGCACUCUCUCGCUGCCGUCGCCGUCCAUGAGGGAGGCACUCUCCUUGUCUCUGAGAGAGCAACACCACGACGAAGAGGUAGAGCUCAAAUGGGCAGCCAUCGAGCGGCUGCCCACCCGGGACAGGCUCCACACCUCGCUCCCUCUCCAUGCCAACGCCACUCAUCCGUUGGAGCCGGUGGACUGGUACAAAGCACCCCAACAAGAUAAGAAAAUACAAACAGGUCCCUGGGGAACCAACCCACUCCUCCAACCAUCGCAGGCUGCCGAGGCGCCGCCGUUGCUGCUGUCGCCGCUCCCACACAGAGCCGGCAUGACCUUGGAAUUUGCAGAUGGAUUGAACACAGACGAGAAGUCUUCAACCUCGGCCCUAGAGGACCAGCAUGGCGGAAAGAGAAGAAGGACGGCCAUCAGUAAACUACACCAGCGACAAUACAUCUCAGAAAUCCUUGGAGCACCCCCACAAGCACAUGACCCUGCCUCUGCAUCGACGAUAGGGAAGACGUCGACACCAUGA